rnacentral:rRNA from 1 species
GCGCACCAGUCGCGAAUUUUCACAAUGGGGGAAACCCUGAUGGAGCGACGCCGCGUGGAGGAUGAAGGCCUUUUGGUCGUAAACUCCUGUCAAACGGGAACAAGAAAGUGAUAGUACCGUUAGAGGAAGAGGCGGCUAACUCUGUGCCAGCAGCCGCGGUAAUACAGAGGCCUCAAGCGUUGUUCGGAUUCAUUGGGCGUAAAGGGUGCGUAGGUGGCUUGUUAGGUUGAAGGUGAAAUCUCGGGGCUCAACUCCGAAACUGCCUUCAAUACUGGCGAGCUCGAGGAUUGUAGAGGAGAAUGGAAUUCACGGUGUAGCAGUGAAAUGCGUAGAUAUCGUGAGGAAGACCAGUGGCGAAGGCGAUUCUCUGGGCAAUUCCUGACACUGAGGCACGAAGGCCAGGGGAGCAAACGGG